rnacentral:rRNA from 1 species
GAUGAACGCUGGCGGCGUGCCUAAUACAUGCAAGUAGAACGCUGAAGCUUGGUGCUUGCACCGAGCGGAUGAGUUGCGAACGGGUGAGUAACGCGUAGGUAACCUGCCUGGUAGCGGGGGAUAACUAUUGGAAACGAUAGCUAAUACCGCAUAACAGUCGACAUUGCAUGAUGUUGAUUUGAAAGGGGCAAAUGCUCCACUACCAGAUGGACCUGCGUUGUAUUAGCUAGUUGGUGAGGUAACGGCUCACCAAGGCGACGAUACAUAGCCGACCUGAGAGGGUGAUCGGCCACACUGGGACUGAGACACGGCCCAGACUCCUACGGGAGGCAGCAGUAGGGAAUCUUCGGCAAUGGGGGCAACCCUGACCGAGCAACGCCGCGUGAGUGAAGAAGGUUUUCGGAUCGUAAAGCUCUGUUGUAAGAGAAGAACGAGUGUGAGAGUGGAAAGUUCACACUGUGACGGUAACUUACCAGAAAGGGACGGCUAACUACGUGCCAGCAGCCGCGGUAAUACGUAGGUCCCGAGCGUUAUCCGGAUUUAUUGGGCGUAAAGCGAGCGCAGGCGGUUAGAUAAGUCUGAAGUUAAAGGCUGUGGCUUAACCAUAGUACGCUUUGGAAACUGUUUAACUUGAGUGCAGAAGGGGAGAGUGGAAUUCCAUGUGUAGCGGUGAAAUGCGUAGAUAUAUGGAGGAACACCGGUGGCGAAAGCAGCUCUCUGGUUUGUAACUGACGCUGAGGCUCGAAAGCGUGGGGAGCAAACAGG